CUCAUUAUAAAUCUUCUUCUAGAUCUAAUUAGUAUAGGGGUUUUGGCUUCUUUCAUAAUACAAAUUAAGAGGUAAUUUUUCAAGCAAGAUUUGUUUCAACGCUCAUUAAUUCCCUCAACAUUUAUCCAACAGCAACUGUGUACCAGGCUUGUAUCUGCUAGAAUCUGGCAAAAAUACACAAGUUGUGCUUCCGUGACAUUUUCGAUCUAGGAGACAAUAAAAUAAAUUUUUAAAAUUGUGAAAUUGAACUGAAAGGUGCUACUAAGAGAGCUACAUGAAGCUACCAGCAGAUAUAACAGGGAGACUUGCUCCACCCAGUAAGUGGUCAAGAAACGUUUUCCUUAAGAAAGCGAUUCUUAAAAUCAGACGAGUAAGUUGGUGUUAAAUCCGCAAAAAGCGUGUGGAGGCGUGCAGAGGUGAAGAUGGCGAGAACAAUUUCCACACGACAAAAAAUAAAUCUCGGGGAGAAGACUUGAGGGGGGGAAAAAAGGUCACUGGUUAGAGUUCAGUGUAUAGUUUCGGGGGGGCGCGGGGGGGGAAGCCGAGGAAACUGGGCCUUCAAAGCCAUAACUAUUUCCAUUCUACGAGCACUGAAGAGUUUUAGGCAGGAAGUUGCUGUGAUCAUCUUUGUAUUUGAAAAGUCUAUCCUGGUGCCAUAUGAAAACUGAGCGGAGAAAGCCGGGUUAGAAGGCUGUUGUUCUUCGUGGAAGGAUGACCCUGAAAGUGGCGAGUUGUCGACGACUGAUGCUUAGAAAGUAAAGUCCAUAAAACUUAGUGAUGGACUACAGUAACUGUAAACGACCUCAGCGCACUUCUGAUUUCAAACCAGGAACUGUUUUAAAUUGGCUGGUAAAAUAAAUGAAAAUAGGCUCAUUCGAUUCCAAACACUGAUAGCUCUCUGUGAGAACUCGUGGGGUCAGCGUGCUUAUUUCCCCAUGUGAAAGUUUCACUGUAUUUUCACGGGCCCUGUGGAAACGCUCUCUGAUGCAUUAGAGAUUGCCGGUGGCAUGGAAGAAGCAAUGCCGGAGGAAAGGUGCUUGUCCCCGUCACCAAGGCCCGGGUCUUGGAAAGCCUGCUUUGCCACGAAGGCUCGAUUCACUGCUAGAGACUGAGGACCCUGGGAAGUUCCCAGACCUCUGCAGUCACGCCAGGUCAGACAGGGCUAAAGCCGCAGGAAACUCGCCCCUCUUUCGGGGUAUUCUUCCCAGAGCGAGGGACGAUACUCAGGUCGCCCGGGACUUCCCGGACGCUCAGACCAAGCCCCCCUCCUCAUCCGCUACGGUGGCCGGAAAGGCCCUGGACUAAUAGACACAGUCAGCCUGGAAGGAGGCGCACGCGCAUUGAAGACUUCUAAACUAUAACGAGGGUCCAGUCCAGAGCCCGCAGGGAGUGCCAGUUUAGCUUCGGCAGUUUCUUCUCCUGGCUCGCCGCGCCCAGAUUUCCUAGAAGUGCG
rnacentral:lncRNA from 1 species